AUACGGAAGGUCCGGGCGUUAUCCGGAUUUAUUGGGUUUAAAGGGAGCGUAGGCCGGAGAUUAAGCGUGUUGUGAAAUGUAGAUGCUCAACAUCUGCACUGCAGCGCGAACUGGUUUCCUUGAGUACGCACAAAGUGGGCGGAAUUCGUGGUGUAGCGGUGAAAUGCUUAGAUAUCACGAAGAACUCCGAUUGCGAAGGCAGCUCACUGGAGCGCAACUGACGCUGAAGCUCGAAAGUGCGGGUAUCGAACAGGAUUAGAUACCCUGGUAGUCCGCACGGUAAACGAUGGAUGCCCGCUGUUGGUCUGAAUAGGUCAGCGGCCAAGCGAAAGCAUUAAGCAUCCCACCUGGGGAGUACGCCGGCAACGGUGAAACUCAAAGGAAUUGACGGGGGCCCGCACAAGCGGAGGAACAUGUGGUUUAAUUCGAUGAUACGCGAGGAACCUUACCCGGGCUUGAAUUGCAGAGGAAGGAUUUGGAGACAAUGACGCCCUUCGGGGUCUCUGUGAAGGUGCUGCAUGGUUGUCGUCAGCUCGUGCCGUGAGGUGUCGGCUUAAGUGCCAUAACGAGCGCAACCCCUCUCCUUAGUUGCCAUCAGGUCAGGCUGGGCACUCUGGGGACACCGCCACCGUAAGGUGUGAGGAAGGUGGGGAUGACGUCAAAUCAGCACGGCCCUUACGUCCGGGGCUACACACGUGUUACAAUGGCAGGUACAGAGAGAUGGUGUUCUGCAAAGCGCAUCUAAUCCUUAAAGCCUGUCUCAGUUCGGACUGGGGUCUGCAACCCGACCCCACGAGGCUGGAUUCGCUAGUAAUCGCGCAUCAGCCAUGGCGCGGUGAAUACGUCCCCGGGCCUUGUACACACCGCCCGUCAAGCCAUGAAAGCCGGGGGCGCCUAAAGUCCGUGACCGUAAGGAGCGGCCUAGGGCGAAACUGGUAAUUGGGGCU
rnacentral:rRNA from 1 species